GUGGGGUGAGGGACAAGGUGAAGGAUUUUUACUAUUUCAUUAGAAGAUCCAGUAAAAUUUACUCAACUAUCUGCUGAUUUCUCCUUAUUAUUCCUAUGAUUUUUACUUAUAAAAAGAGUUUGGGGUGUUCCCGGGUGGCACAGUUGGUUAAGGAUCCAGUGUGCAGGCUGUGGCGCAGGUUUCACCUACUGUGUGGGUUCAUCCCUGGCUGGGAACUUCCACGUGCUGCAGGUGCAGAUAAAAAAGUUCAUAAUUGUGUAAUAUGUAGUCAUAUGUAGGAAAAGGUUAUAGAAAAGAGGAUAGAUACCAUUGUGGUUAAAAAAAAAAAAGGAAAUAACACAUAGUGAGUAAUUUGUCUCUUUUGAAGUCAAGAAAAUAUCAUUUGUAAUGCCUGAGCAGUGUUACAUGAAAUAUUGUAUAGCUAUGAGUCAAAAACAUAAAUUGCUCUAUUUUUUUCCUAUGAAUUUCACUCUCUUAUCAUAACAAAAUAUAUGCUAGCAACAGUUGGGAUAUUAAGUUCCUAUUCUCUUAUUAUUUGAAAAGAAACAGAAACUGUUUCCUUUAGUUCAGCAACAAUAAGAAAGUUUUCUGUGCCAUGAUAGCUUUUACUUAAGGUAAAUUAUAAUUUCAGCCAGAAUACAUUAAAUUCCUACCCAUCAAGUAGCUUUAUUUUUAGCAUGUAUUUUAUGAAUAAUUCUUUAUGAGUUAUGCAAACCUAGGUGAUUCUAUUAAUCAGCUUGAACCUCAAUUAAAUGUUGAUAAAACUGGAAUUAUCCAAAGACAAUUUGAGUGAUCAUUUGAACUUAGUCCUUAUUAUUUGCCUGAUCAUCACAAAUUAGCAUGUGACUAUAUCUAGACACAUAGUAUGUAAGGUCACUAAUGUAUGAGAAACAAAAAAUUAAAGAAGUAUGAUUUGGCUUUAAUAAUUGAUUAGGAUAUAAAACCAAUUUUUAAAUAUUUUCAAAUGCAGUCUAAAAUAAUUAUCUUCAUUUGCCUUGCGAUAUUAAACAGACAUAUUAAACAGGCAUUUCUUUUUGUUUUUCUUCUUAUGGCCUUACCUGCGGCCUAUGGAAGUUCCCAGGCUAGGGGUCAAAUUGGAGGUGCAGCUGCCAGCCUACACCACAGCCAUGGCAGUACCAGAUCUAAGCUACAUCUACGACCUAUGCUUCAGCUUGCGGCAAUGCCAAUCCUUAAUCCACUGAGCCGGGCCAGGGAUCGAACCCGCACACUCACAGACGCUAUGUCGGGUUCUUAACCCACGGAGUCACCACGGGAACUCGUAGACAAACAUUUCUCAAACAUUUAUUUUCUAAGAUGCUUGUGCAAUACUCAUUUUUCUUUUUGUUUCAAAUGAAAUACAUGAAAGAGACAGUUCCACGCAAAUCAUAAUCAAUUCACACUGACAUGAUGGCAUCGACAUUAGCCAUGCCAUAUGCCUGGCUACGAAAAGGAGUGAUGAGUAUGUGCCCCCUGAUUUACUAUGAACCUAUUAAUAAUGCACAUGAAUGGCACAUCCCUGAAAUCUGUGAAUGUACGGAUCCAGUGUUUGACUGAGCACUUUCCUCACCCUCACCAGUUUCCUCACGCCUCUUUUAAUUCUCCACACUGUGGCUACCGCUGCCAGCCAGCGUCCUCAGGCAGUGCACUGAUCUGCACUGCUUCACUCUAGGAUUCUUUGUAUUUUCUAUCAUUUGAUUGAAAUGACAUCACACUCUUCUCGUUGGCCUCUUUCCCUCAGCGUAAUUAUUUCGAGACGUCCAGGUUGUGUGUAUCAACAGUUAUCUUUUUUAUUACUGAGUGGUAUUCUACCCUGCCAUUUGUUUUUCAAUUCAUCUGAUAAUGGACAUUAAAUAUGAUACUAAUACCUUGUCUAGGAACAUGGUGAACAAGACUUUAUGUCAGUGCAAGAUGUAAUUUAUCUCGGGUUAAAUCCCUGGAAGUCAAAUAGUUGCAUCAAGUGUCAGGAGGAUGCUAAACUUAUUACAAAAAACCUUUUUAAAACUACAAAACUGUAAUCCACAGUGUUGUACAAUGUUACAUUCCCAUCAGCAUUAAAUGAAUGUUCCAGUUACUUACUCAAUAGCCUGACAAAAACGAUCAGGCUUUCGAAGUUCAAGACAUUCUAAUAAGUGGAUAUCUCAUUGCAGGUUUAAUGUAUUUGAAAAUCAUUAAAGAAUAAUGAUGUCAAGCAUCUUUUCAUAUGCGUGGUAUGAAAAGCAUAUGAUUUGGUUAAAUGUCUGUUCAAUCCUUUAUCCAUGUUUACUUGGAUUUCUUGUUUAAUUAUUGAGCGUGUGUGUUUUUAAAUAUACUGUGUGCUUAUAAAUUACAAAUAUUUUAUCCUAGUAAAUAACUGGUUUCUUAAUUCUGUCUUUCAAAAAGCGUUUUUUUUAAUUUGGAUGAAAUCCAACAUAAAUAAAACUUACUAAAUAAGAGCAAAUCCUUUAAAAUAUAGAAGGAUGGUUUGACUUAGGCAUUUUUUUCCCCAUUUACAGUGGUACAACAGCCAUAUGCAUUCAGUAGAACAAUACUUUGAAGUUCAAAAGUUAGUCUUUUCCUGAGCUUGUGAUAUGCAGUAACAACUGUUACACUUACAGCCAUUCUGGCCCAUCCAGUCAUUCAGCGUUUCACUUUCAGUAUGAUAUUCAGUAAAUUACUUAAGAUAUUUAACACUUUAUUAUAGAAUGGUCUUUGAGUUUGCCCACCUACAGGCUCAUGUAAAUGUUCUGACGACAUCUAAGUUAGUCUAGGCUAAACCGUGGUGUUGACUCAGUGAGGUAUAUUACACAAAUUAUCAACACACAAUGGGUUUAUCAGAACUUAACCUCGUCUCAGGUUGAGUAAGAUCUGUAUAGUCAAACUUGUUUCAUAUCCUAGACUUCAGUUUAUUAAAAAUAGAUUCUUCGGUUCUCUAUGCUUGUUUCCUGAGCUGUUGUUGACAUACAAAAAAACCUGUACGUACUUACCAUAUUCACCUUGAUGAGUUUAGAGAUCAGUGUAUAUUUGUGAAACUAUCACCACAAACUAUGUCAUAAUGUAGUAUACAUCAGCUAGUGGUAUAUGCAUACAAGGGAAUAAUAUCCAGCCCUACCCAAAAGAAGGAAGUCUUGCCCCUUGCAAUGACAUGAACGGGCCUGGAGAAGGUGAUACUAAAUGAAAAAAGCCAAACACAGAAAGACAAACACUACAUGAUACUACUCAUAUGAGGAUAUAAAAUAGUCCGAAUCAUAGAAGCAGAAAAUGAACCAAUGGUUGUCAGAGGCUGGGGAAAGGGGAAAACAGGGAAUAUUAGUCAAAAUAGAUUCUUAUUCAUCAAAGAAAAAUAAACUAGAAUAUAAUACAAUAAUAUGAUGUACUACCAAAUGGCUUAAAAUGGGAAGCAACAGUAAACAAAACUAAAAAAUAUAAAAUAAAGAAUUAUACAGAAUACUACCAAGACUGUGGAAAAGCUGAAUAGUUCUGGCGUCGCUGGCAGAAGUAUUAAUUGGUAGCAACCCCUUUGAACUACAUUGGAAAAUUCUGGUAAUGUCUGCAAACUGUAACUUCUAUUCCAGCAACUCCUUUCCUACAUAUAAUUCCACACACACACACAAAUGCAUUUGUGUUUGUCCCAAAGGCACAUACUAGAUGGAACGUUUGACAAUAUUUGGGAUGGCAACAAACUGGGAACUCCCUACAUGCUCUUCAUUAGUAUCAGGGCGCCAUCACACCAUGGAAUCCUAGAGACAAUGUGAUAAACACCAGGCAACUGCCCACACCAACGUGAACGAACGAAGGCAGAUGCAGAGCAUGGAGUAUAUGAUCUGAUUGACAGAAUGCACUCAACUCCCCUCUGCUGGUGAAUGUCAGGAGGAGGGGUGGUGACGGAACGAGGGCGCAGAAGAAACAGCUGAGCGGUGGACACGCUCUUCAUCUCCUGGGGCUGGUUAUGCAGGUGUGUUCCCCUUGUGAGCACUCAAAAAGAUGCACAAUGAUCACAAGUACGACUUUCUGUAUAUACUUUAAUAAAAAUAAAUACAAGAACGGAGUAUGGCGGAAAAAUGUUACCCUGGAUAAUGUCCAAGACCGUAAGCAUGGCCCUCCCUUUCACGUUGAACUGCUCAGAAGAAUCUCCGAGGCUGUAUUUUCCUUGCCCUUUUCUUGGGUCUUUCUACGACUGAGUUCAUUGUGCCUCCCAGAGGACAUCUGGCUUGCGGUUCCCUGACUUGCAGUUUUGUGGUUUUCAAGGCAUGUCGUCAAAUUGUCACCCAGUUGAGUUUGUUUCCAGGCAUUCAUUUUGAAUGAGAAAGAAGAUAAUACUUGUGUUCUCAGAAUUCACUAAGAUCUCUUUGGGGGGGGGGGGACAUUUUGAUUUUCUGUAUGUGGGGAACAGAUUGUAUCCAUCACUCCUUUCUUAAACUCACAGUUCUGUUCUCAACUUUUAAAAGGAAAAGAUUUUAAAAACUGGAUAAAAAGAAAAACACACCUUGAUUAAAGGGAUAAUAAAAAAGUAACUUGUGCAAGUAGAGAUUGCUUAUCUGGUUUCUAUCUCUGUAAGAGCUGUUAGUGUACGCGUGGCAGAAGAAGGGCGGCCUUCCCUCGUGGCACAGAGGGUUGAGGUUCUGGCGCUGUCACUGCAGUGGCUCGUGGUCACUGUUGUGACUCUCUUAGCUACUCCGGCAUAUUUUAGAUGGAAGCAGGAUCUUGGUAACCAAAUUCGUGGCUCUGUGGGCAGUCUGUACAGGCCACAACGCAGAGCCAUACGUGCACUAUCUCAAGUAUACAUUUAAUAAACAUGUGGUUGAGGGCUUUCCGGAUGAGCCUGACUAAGCCAACUUCUCCAUUUGAUUUUGGAAACCAGCCUCCUCAAUCUAAAGGCAUAUUGGGCUUUGGAGGUUAACAUUCAUUUAUGAAUUUGUAAUAAAUGAUCUAUUUAUCCAAAAUCCAUUCUGGAAGCUAGCUAGCAUUUACUCAAAUUACAGUUUUUAUAUUCUUGGCAAGGCAUUAGGUUCAUGUGCUUUCACAAAGAAUUAUGAUUUGGUGUUUAGAAAUAGAAGAAUAACUUCUUGACUUUGAUGAAUAAUAGGAAAGAAACAAAAUAAAACUAAUAUAUACAUAUGCCUAUAUAUAUGAAUACACAUAUAUAAUACAUAUUAUAUAUAUAUGUGUGUGAACAAGUUAAAUUACUCAUAAUAUCCAUUAUUUAUCACUUUACAAAUAAGCCUCAUUUGAGGAAGACAAGGAAAGUAAUAUGAGCUAUUUCCAGACCAUAUGGAACUGCAUAAUUUAUUGGAGAUGUUGCCAGAUUCAAGGGAAGUGACUGCGUUUCACAAGCUGGAGAGUCUCUUUCACAAGUGAGAUUACAGAAUGCGUAUACCCAUCUUUAUAUGGCUCUGAGGGUUUCACUGGAUCUGUAUACAAUGACAAUAAUAUGAUGAGGGCCUUUUUUUUCCCAAAGUUUUAAAUACAUAAUGUAGUUCUGCCUUUUUAUUUCUAUUUAAAGUAAAGCUUGUUAUGCCAGACUGUGAGAUGUUUCCAUUUGGUUGAAUCAAUAAGGACAUGACAAUUUUUAUUUUUGCAAGAUGAUAUUUUUUCACAAUUUCCAAACCUCUUUUUCUAAGAGGAGUUAAUUCUUGGAUGGGUUGAUAUUUAAUUCAGGCAUGAGCAAAAAAAAAAAAAAAAAAAAAAAAAA
rnacentral:lncRNA from 1 species